rnacentral:rRNA from 1 species
CCUACGGGAGGCAGCAGUGAGGAAUAUUGGUCAAUGGACGAGAGUCUGAACCAGCCAAGGAGCGUGAAGGAGGACGGCCCGAUGGGAGGUAAACUACGUUUAUAGGGGAAUAAAAUGUGCCACGUGUGGGAUUUUGUAUGUACCAUAUGAAUAAGGAUCGGCUAACUCCGUGCCAGCAGCCGCGGUAAUACGGAGGAUCCGAGCGUUAUCCGGAUUGAUUGGGUUUAAAGGGAGCGUAGGUGGGUUGUUAAGUCAGUUGUGAAAGUUUGCGGCUCAACCGUAAAAUUGCAGUUGAAACUGGCAGUCUUGAGUACAGUAGAGGUGGGCGGAAUUCGUUGUGUAGCGGU